rnacentral:rRNA from 1 species
CCUACGGGUGGCAGCAGUGGGGAAUAUUGCACAAUGGGGGAAACCCUGAUGCAGCGACGCCGCGUGAGUGAAGAAGGAAUUCGGUAUGUAAAGCUCUAUCAGCAGGGAAGAAAAUGACGGUACCUGAGUAAGAAGCCCCGGCUAACUACGUGCCAGCAGCCGCGGUAAUACGUAGGGGGCAAGCGUGAUCCGGAUUUACUGGGGGGAACGGGAGCGUAGACGGCAGUGCAAGUCUGGAGUGAAAGGCGGGGGCUCAACCCCCGGACUGCUCUUGAAACUGUCCGGCUGGAGUGCAGGAGAGGUAAGUGGCAUUCCUCGUGUAGCGGUUAAAUGCGUAGAUAUUAGGAGGAACACCAGUGGCGAAGGCGGCUUACUGGACUGUAACUGACGUUGAGGCUC